rnacentral:rRNA from 1 species
UAGUCCACGCCGUAAACGAUGAUUACUCGGUAUUGGCUUCGGUCAGUGCCCAAGCGAAAGUGAUAAGUAAUCCACCUGGGGAGUACGCCCGCAAGGGUGAAACUCAAAGGAAUUGACGGGGGCCCGCACAAGCGGUGGAGCAUGUGGUUUAAUUCGAUGAUACGCGAGGAACCUUACCAGGGUUUAAAUGCAGAACGACAGGGGUGGAAACACCCCCUUCUUCGGACGAACUGCAAGGUGCUGCACGGUUGUCGUCAGCUCGUGCUGUGAAGUGUCAGGUUAAGUCCUGCAACGAGCGCAACCCCUAUUCUUAGUUGCCAGCGGUUCGGCCGGGGACUCUAAGAAGACUGCCAGCGCAAGCUGAGAGGAAGGUGGGGAUGACGUCAAAUCAUCACGGGCCCUUACGUCCUGGGGCUACACACGUGCUACAAUGGGUAGAGACAGAGGGGCAGGCCACCUGGGUGACAGGGGAGCGGAAUCCUUAAACUCUAUCUCAGUUCGGGAUCGAAGUCUGCAACUCGAC